UACGGAGGGAGCUAGCGUUGUUCGGAAUUACUGGGCGUAAAGCGCACGUAGGCGGCUAUUCAAGUCGGGGGUGAAAGCCCGGGGCUCAACCCCGGAACUGCCCUCGAAACUAGGUAGCUAGAAUCUUGGAGAGGCGAGUGGAAUUCCGAGUGUAGAGGUGAAAUUCGUAGAUAUUCGGAAGAACACCAGUGGCGAAGGCGACUCGCUGGACAAGUAUUGACGCUGAGGUGCGAAAGCGUGGGUAGCAAACAGG
rnacentral:rRNA from 1 species